GGGCCCGCACAAGUGGUGGAGCAUGUGGUUUAAUUCGAUGCAACGCGAAGAACCUUACCAAUCCUUGAAAUCUAGCGAAGUUCGCAGAGAUGUGAAUGUGCCUUCGGGAACGCUAUGACAGGUGUUGCAUGGCUGUCGUCAGCUCGUGUCGUGAGAUGUAUGGUUAAGUCCAGUAACGAGCGCAACCCCUAUCCUUAUUUGCCAGCGCGUAAUGGCGGGAACUAUAGGGAGACUGCCGGGUGAAACCCGGAGGAAGGCGGGGACGAGGUCAAGUCAUCAUGGCCCUUAUGGAUUGGGCUACACACGUGCUACAAUGGGAAGUACAGAGGGACGCUAAAGCGCGAGCUGGAGCCAA
rnacentral:rRNA from 1 species